rnacentral:rRNA from 1 species
GAUGAACGCUGGCGGCGUGCUUAACACAUGCAAGUCGAACGGAAAGGCCCAAGCUUGCUUGGGUACUCGUGUGGCGAACGGGUGAGUAAAACGUGGGUGUUCUGUCCUGCACUUCGGGAUAAGCCUGGGAAACUGGGUAUAAUAUCGGAUAGGAUCACUUUAUGGAUGGUGUUGUGGAAUGAUUUUCGGUGUGGGAUGAGCUCGCGGCCUAUCAGCUUGUUGGUGGGGUAAUGGCUUACCAAGGCGUCGACGGGUAGCCGGCCUGAGAGGGUGUACGGCCACAUUGAGACUGAGAUACGGCCCAGACUCCUACGGGAGGCAGCAGUGGGGAAUAUUGCACGAUGGGCGCCAGCCUGAUGCAGCGACGCCGCGUGGGGGAUGACGGCCUUCGGGUUGUAAACUCCUUGCGCUAGGGACGAAGCGUUAUGUGACGGUACCUGGAGAAGAAGCACCGGCUAACUACGUG